rnacentral:rRNA from 1 species
AGAGUUUGAUCAUGGCUCAGAUUGAACGCUGGCGGCAGGCCUAACACAUGCAAGUCGAGCGGAUGAAGGGAGCUUGCUCCUGGAUUCAGCGGCGGACGGGUGAGUAAUGCCUAGGAAUCUGCCUGGUAGUGGGGGAUAACGUCCGGAAACGGGCGCUAAUACCGCAUACGUCCUGAGGGAGAAAGUGGGGGAUCUUCGGACCUCACGCUAUCAGAUGAGCCUAGGUCGGAUUAGCUAGUUGGUGGGGUAAAGGCCUACCAAGGCGACGAUCCGUAACUGGUCUGAGAGGAUGAUCAGUCACACUGGAACUGAGACACGGUCCAGACUCCUACGGGAGGCAGCAGUGGGGAAUAUUGGACAAUGGGCGAAAGCCUGAUCCAGCCAUGCCGCGUGUGUGAAGAAGGUCUUCGGAUUGUAAAGCACUUUAAGUUGGGAGGAAGGGCAGUAAGUUAAUACCUUGCUGUUUUGACGUUACCAACAGAAUAAGCACCGGCUAACUUCGUGCCAGCAGCCGCGGUAAUACGAAGGGUGCAAGCGUUAAUCGGAAUUACUGGGCGUAAAGCGCGCGUAGGUGGUUCAGCAAGUUGGAUGUGAAAUCCCCGGGCUCAACCUGGGAACUGCAUCCAAAACUACUGAGCUAGAGUACGGUAGAGGGUGGUGGAAUUUCCUGUGUAGCGGUGAAAUGCGUAGAUAUAGGAAGGAACACCAGUGGCGAAGGCGACCACCUGGACUGAUACUGACACUGAGGUGCGAAAGCGUGGGGAGCAAACAGGAUUAGAUACCCUGGUAGUCCACGCCGUAAACGAUGUCGACUAGCCGUUGGGAUCCUUGAGAUCUUAGUGGCGCAGCUAACGCGAUAAGUCGACCGCCUGGGGAGUACGGCCGCAAGGUUAAAACUCAAAUGAAUUGACGGGG